CCUACGGGAGGCAGCAGUGAGGAAUAUUGGUCAAUGGGCGGGAGCCUGAACCAGCAAAGCCGCGUGAAGGAAGAAGGCGCCAGGCGUCGUAACCUUCUUUUGUCGGGGCACAAAGGGCACCACGCCUGGCGUUGUGAGUGUACCCGAAGAAAAAGCAUCGGCUAACUCCGUGCCAGCAGCCGCGGUAAUACGGGGGAUGCGUGCGUUCUCCGGAUUUAUGGGGGUAAAAGGGUGCGUAGGCGGUCAGGAAAGCCAGCGGUACAAGCCCGGGGUUCAACCCCGGCGAGCCGUUGAAACUGUCGGACUAGAGAGGGCGAGAAGUACGCGGAAUGCGGGGUGUAGCGGUGAAAUGCAUAGAUAUAGGGCAGAACACCGAUUGCGAAGGCAGCGUACCGGCGCCGGACUGACGCUGAGGCACGAAAGCGUGGGGAUCGAACAGGAUUAGAUACCCGGGUAGUC
rnacentral:rRNA from 1 species